rnacentral:rRNA from 1 species
GAUGAACGCUGGCGGCGUGCCUAAUACAUGCAAGUCGAGCGAACGGACGAGAAGCUUGCUUCUCUGACGUUAGCGGCGGACGGGUGAGUAACACGUGGAUAACCUACCUAUAAGACUGGGAUAACUUCGGGAAACCGGAGCUAAUACCGGAUAAUAUUUUGAACCGCAUGGUUCAAAAGUGAAAGACGGUCUUGCUGUCACUUAUAGAUGGAUCCGCGCUGCAUUAGCUAGUUGGUAAGGUAACGGCUUACCAAGGCAACGAUGCAUAGCCGACCUGAGAGGGUGAUCGGCCACACUGGAACUGAGACACGGUCCAGACUCCUACGGGAGGUAGCAGUAGGGAAUCUUCCGCAAUGGGCGAAAGCCUGACGGAGCAACGCCGCGUGAGUGAUGAAGGUCUUCGGAUCGUAAAACUCUGUUAUUAGGGAAGAACAUAUGUGUAAGUAACUGUGCACAUCUUGACGGUACCUAAUCAGAAAGCCACGGCUAACUACGUGCCAGCAGCCGCGGUAAUACGUAGGUGGCAAGCGUUAUCCGGAAUUAUUGGGCGUAAAGCGCGCGUAGGCGGCUUUUUAAGUCUGAUGUGAAAGCCCACGGCUCAACCGUGGAGGGUCAUUGGAAACUGGAAAACUUGAGUGCAGAAGAGGAAAGUGGAAUUCCAUGUGUAGCGGUGAAAUGCGCAGAGAUAUGGAGGAACACCAGUGGCGAAGGCGACUUUCUGGUCUGUAACUGACGCUGAUGUGCGAAAGCGUGGGGAUCAAACAGGAUUAGAUACCCUGGUAGUCCACGCCGUAAACGAUGAGUGCUAAGUGUUAGGGGGUUUCCGCCCCUUAGUGCUGCAGCUAACGCAUUAAGCACUCCGCCUGGGGAGUACGACCGCAAGGUUGAAACUCAAAGGAAUUGACGGGGACCCGCACAAGCGGUGGAGCAUGUGGUUUAAUUCGAAGCAACGCGAAGAACCUUACCAAAUCUUGACAUCCUUUGACAACUCUAGAGAUAGAGCUUUCCCCUUCGGGGGACAAAGUGACAGGUGGUGCAUGGUUGUCGUCAGCUCGUGUCGUGAGAUGUUGGGUUAAGUCCCGCAACGAGCGCAACCCUUAAGCUUAGUUGCCAUCAUUAAGUUGGGCACUCUAAGUUGACUGCCGGUGACAAACCGGAGGAAGGUGGGGAUGACGUCAAAUCAUCAUGCCCCUUAUGAUUUGGGCUACACACGUGCUACAAUGGACAAUACAAAGGGCAGCGAAACCGCGAGGUCAAGCAAAUCCCAUAAAGUUGUUCUCAGUUCGGAUUGUAGUCUGCAACUCGACUACAUGAAGCUGGAAUCGCUAGUAAUCGUAGAUCAGCAUGCUACGGUGAAUACGUUCCCGGGUCU